GGUCCCAUGGUCUAGUGGUCAUGACAUGAGACUUUGAAUCUCAGGACGCGGGUUCGAACCCCGCUGGGACUU